AUUGAACGCUGGCGGCAGGCUUAACACAUGCAAGUCGAGCGGUAACAGAGAGAAGCUUGCUUCUCUGCUGACGAGCGGCGGACGGGUGAGUAAUGCCUAGGAAUCUGCCUAGUAGUGGGGGAUAACUUGCCGAAAGGUAAGCUAAUACCGCAUACGUCCUACGGGAGAAAGGAGGGGACCUUCGGGCCUUUCGCUAUUAGAUGAGCCUAGGUCGGAUUAGUUAGUUGGUGUGGUAAUGGCUCACCAAGACCGCGAUCCGUAACUGGUCUGAGAGGAUGAUCAGUCACACUGGAACUGAGACACGGUCCAGACUCCUACGGGAGGCAGCAGUGGGGAAUAUUGGACAAUGGGGGGAACCCUGAUCCAGCCAUGCCGCGUGUGUGAAGAAGGUCUUAGGAUUAUAAAGCACUUUAAGUUGGGAGGAAGAGCAGUUAACUAAUAUUUGACUGUUUUGACGUUACCGACAGAAUAAGCACCGGCUAACUUCGUGCCAGCAGCCGCAGUAA
rnacentral:rRNA from 1 species